GAUGAACGCUGGCGGCGUGCCUAAUACAUGCAAGUCGAGCGAACAGACGAGGAGCUUGCUCCUCUGACGUUAGCGGCGGACGGGUGAGUAACACGUGGAUAACCUACCUAUAAGACUGGGAUAACUUCGGGAAACCGGAGCUAAUACCGGAUAAUAUAUUGAACCGCAUGGUUCAAUAGUGAAAGACGGUUUUGCUGUAACUUAUAGAUGAUUCCGCGCCGCAUUAGCUAGUUGGUAAGGUAACGGCUUACCAAGGCAACGAUGCGUAGCCGACCUGAGAGGGUGAUCGGCCACACUGGAACUGAGACACGGUCCAGACUCCUACGGGAGGCAGCAGUAGGGAAUCUUCCGCAAUGGGCGAAAGCCUGACGGAGCAACGCCGCGUGGGUGAUGAAGGUCUUCGGAUCGUAAAACUCUGUUAUUAGGGAAGAACAAAUGUGUAAGUAACUAUGCACGUCUUGACGGUACCUAAUCAGAAAGCCACGGCUAACUACGUG
rnacentral:rRNA from 1 species